ensembl:lncRNA
GGAGUGACUCCAGUUGCUAUGCUGGGAGCAGAAAUCGACAUACCUGCCUAAACUGGGAGGAUGGAUAAGAUGUGGUUUCCCAGAGACUAUGGGUUGAGGCGGAGGUGGAAGUUUGUCGGCUUAGACCUGGUGUCAUUCCAUCAGUGUUAACCUUCCCGGCUCAUCUUGGAAGAGUACGUGCCAGAAAGACCACGACCAAGCAGCCUUGAGAUCUUAGGCAGCAUCUCCCUCAGACCAAAGAACUACAGACUCUUCACAACCUGCUCAAACUCUUGGUACAGGACCUCACCACACGGGUCAAGAAGGUUUCCAUCUCAUUUCUACUCUGAAGCUCACCUUCUCCUGCUCAAACUACUGACAAAUGUUUCUGCUGCUCUAAAG